rnacentral:rRNA from 1 species
GCCCUUACGGGGCGCAGCAGGCGCGAAACCUCCGCAAUGUGAGAAAUCGCGACGGGGGGAUCCCAAGUGCUAUUCUUAACGGGGUAGCUUUUCUUAAGUGUAAAGAGCUUUUGGAAUAAGAGCUGGGCAAGACCGGUGCCAGCCGCCGCGGUAAUACAAGGGC